rnacentral:rRNA from 1 species
GACGAACCGUGCGAACGUUGUUCGGAAUCACUGGGCUUAAAGGGCGCGUAGGCGGUCUGCCAAGUCCGGGGUGAAAGCCCCCAGCUCAACUGGGGAAGUGCCUUGGAUACUGGCGGACUCGAGCGAGGCAGGGGUCGGUGGGAACUUCCGGUGGAGCGGUGAAAUGCGUUGAUAUCGGAAGGAACGCCGGUGGCGAAAGCGCACGACUGGUCCUCUUCUGACGCUGAGGCGCGAAAGCCAGGGGAGCAAACGGG